rnacentral:lncRNA from 1 species
CAAAUAAACUAUUUUGUGUUGUUGUAGUAGAUGACUCCAUAGAUUUUCUUUGAAAGUUUCUUUUGGAUUCUUAUUUGAUCUUUCUUACUGAUUUUUAUUGCAUCAAUUUUAAUUGUUGAUUGUUAUUGAUUGUUAGGAUGAUUACUAGUAUGAUUGCUUAUGUUCCAUAAAUGAGCGCCCCUAACAUGUUUGGGGUUGUUAUGGGGACCCCCUUGACUUCUAUUUUGGGAUAAAACUCGUCUGGCAAGGCCCAACAU